ensembl:lincRNA Gm12860 predicted gene 12860
CACCCCGCACACUCUGUUAUGACGUUCCUUAGUCUGUUGUGGAGUUGCCUGGUUUCCUGAAGCAGAUCUAGCCCCUUGAGCAAUGAUGGUACGCAGCGCAUGCUUGCCUAAAAAUCGAGUAUGGAACCUGCCAUCGGGAGACUGGUGAAAUACUGGACUCAUGACCACAAAGCUAUUCCCACCAGUCAGAGACAAGGAUAUUAGAGAUGGAGUUUGUGUUGGAUGACUUCGAGAACCAAUAUGAGAGAAGCACUAACGUCCACGGGCCCAGGUGUGGUGACACACACUUGUUGUCCCAGGCCUUCGCAAGAAGAGGUAGGAUGAGCUCAGAGCCGGACUCAUCUGUGUAGCAAAUGCAAGGGCAGCCUGGGCUCCAUGGAAGCCUGUCACAAAGCAGCAACAGCAACAGCAACAGCAACAGCAACAGCAACAGCAACAGCAAUAGCAGCAACAACAGCAAUGAACAAAAACACCUCUACAAGAGCCACAUUCAACUCCAUUGGCCACAGGCAAACCAAGGGGAGGUGGUGCACAACAACCUGGCUUAAGAUGGAAACAAAAGUCCUCUUUGUCUGGAAACACAAUGGAUAAUGGACACCCCGUUGUAUGGCACAAGCAAUGGUCAGGUAUGACACUGCUUUUCCAAAAGACUAAAGCUUUGUGAUGGCAAGGUUAUUUUUCCUCCAGGCUCUGUUUUUCCUGGCUCUUGCCUCAGCCAUGGAAGUAGCUCUCACUGGGCUCUCCAAGGACAACGGCAACCCUUCCUAGGUCCUUCCAACCACCAAGGGCCCAGCGGCUCCAGCCUGGCAUACACAAAGGGGCUUUGUGGCUUCCCCAUGGAGAGGUGAUAGAGAGGACAUUGUAUAUGAGUCCCCAUUCCAGCAAUCACUGUCCCCUGCAGCACAUGAUGUGGCAGGAAACCACUGUUAACGUCUGUAAUGAAAAAAAAAACCUUUAAUUUUUAUUUAA